AAUGACAAACCCUCGUUUCAUAUUAUUUAACUUGGCUCCGAUCCGAUCAUCGUUGAAACAAGUCCGACCCGCCGGCGACGAUGGAUUUACAGCAAAAGCAGCGAUGCUGGAAACUUGAAGUCGAGGUUUUAGAUAGCGAUUCUUCAUGGAUCAGUGGAUUUGACCCUUCCAAGAAAAAGAAGAAGAAGAAGAAGAAGAAGAGCAAGCCUCUGUUCCAGGAAGGAGGACACUUUUUGGAGGAUAAUGCACCACACCGUCAAUCUUGCCAGAACUUUGAUGAGCCAGAUUAUGGCUACAAGGAGCUCUUGCGUAGGGCGUUUGAUAGGCUUCGUGAUGACGAUCUUGAGGCUUCUACAGAAAGGCCAAGAACAGUAAUGAUGCCUCCUCAUCUCCUUGCACAAGGGACGGUAACAGUUUGUUUAAACUUUGCUGAUCUCUGCAGAACGUACGACUUGUUCUAUUUCGUUAUUGAUCUUUCCUUUUUAACUCUACUUGUUGAGUCGACUGGUGUAUCACUCUUUAACAUACCUACCUUGUUCAGGAUGCAUAGGAAGCCAGAUCAUGUCAUGAAUUUCUUGCUUCUCCAAAUGGAGACAAAAGGAUUGUUGAACAAACAGCAACGGCUAGAGAUGAAGGGUUUAGUGUCUCAUAGGGAUUUUCAAGCUGUGUUACGGAGAUACAUUGAUGCGUUCGUAAUCUGCAUCUGCUGCAAAAGUCCUGACACAGCUCUCGGGGAAUAUAAUGGUCUCUUCACUCUCAGAUGUGAGAUGUGUGGUUUAGCAGCAUUGAUCGAUGUACCAAGUCCCCUAUGAAUAACUCAUCAAGAUAUGGAACUUAUAGAGCCACCUGCUGGGCAAGGUUCCGCUGUAAGGAGGAUUAUAUUGCUGAGACAGCACGCAAACGGUGCAAAUUUGCUGAGAGUAACGUGUCUUUUCUAUGCACGUAAUGUAAGAAAUCCUGAGAAAAAACGAAAAGAAACAAAACAAAAAAAAAGGAUGACUCAUCAGUCACUUCUCUAUGAAAUGACUUUAAAAGAUGGGUGGGUUGGUCCGAAGCUUGCACGGAAAAAUUGAAAUGGACAUGUCAGCUAACCCUAGUGGGUGCGCUUCGAAUCUUAGCUUGGCAGUGACAGAUUACUUUGGAACUGUCUCACGUAUCAGUCCUCUGAUUGAUAUCUCUCCAACAUGUGCUGAAACCUAGGACCCAUUCUCUUGCCUUGUUUAACUCAGAAGAAUCAGUAGGAGAAGAAGAAUGGGAGAUGGUUGAGAGGAAAGGGAUGCAAUUUACGCAAAAUGGACAACCGUUCUACGUGAAUGGCUUCAACACAUAUUGGAUGAUGGUUCUUGCAGCUGACAAUUCCACGAGAGGCAAAGUGACGGAAGUGUUCCAACAAGCCUCCGCAGUUGGAAUGACGGUAGGCAGGACAUGGGCUUUCAAUGACGGCCAAUGGAGAGCUCUCCAAAAAUCUCCCUCUGUUUACGAUGAAGAGGUCUUCAAGGCCCUGGAUUUCGUGGUGAGCGAGGCCAGAAAGUACAAGAUCAGACUUAUACUGUCAUUGGUCAACAACUGGGACGCAUAUGGCGGCAAAGCUCAGUAUGUUAAAUGGGGGAACGCCUCCGGCCUUAAUCUCACCUCUGAUGACGACUUCUUCACCAACCCCACUCUCAGAAACUUCUACCAGUCUCAUGUCCGGACGGUGCUGAAUAGAGUGAACACCUACACAAACAUAACUUACAAGAACGACCCCACAAUCUUCGCCUGGGAACUCAUGAAUGAGCCUCGCUGCCCCUCUGAUCCCUCCGGUGACAAACUCCAGUCCUGGAUACAAGAAAUGGCGGCUUUUGUGAAAAG